CGGGGCGUAGCUCAGCUUGGCUAGAGCGCUUGGUUUGGGACCAAGAGGUCCCGGGUUCAAAUCCCGGCGCCCCGACCA
rnacentral:tRNA from 1 species